UAACGCGUGGGUAACCUGGCCCAUACAGGGGGAUAACACUUAGAAAUAGGUGCUAAUACCGCAUAACAACAGAAAGCGCAUGCUUUUUGUUUGAAAACCAAGGUGGUAUGGGAUGGACCCGCGUCUGAUUAGCUGGUUGGCGGGGUAAAGGCCCACCAAGGCGACGAUCAGUAGCCGGCCUGAGAGGGUGGACGGCCACAUUGGGACUGAGACACGGCCCAAACUCCUACGGGAGGCAGCAGUGGGGAAUAUUGCACAAUGGGGGAAACCCUGAUGCAGCGACGCCGCGUGAGUGAAGAAGUAAUUCGUUAUGUAAAGCUCUAUCAGCGGGGAAGAAAAUGACGGUACCUGAGUAAGAAGCCCCGGCUAACUACGUGCCAGCAGCCGCGGUAAUACGUAGGGGGCAAGCGUUAUCCGGAUUUACUGGGUGUAAAGGGAGCGUAGACGGCAGUGCAAGUCUGGAGUGAAAGGCGGGGGCUCAACCCCCGGACUGCUCUGGAAACUGUACGGCUGGAGUGCAGGAGAGGUAAGUGGAAUUCCUAGUGUAGCGGUGAAAUGCGUAGAUAUUAGGAGGAACACCAGUGGCGAAGGCGGCUUACUGGACUGUAACUGACGUUGAGGCUCGAAAGCGUGGGGAGCAAACAGGAUUAGAUACCCUGGUAGUCCACGCCGUAAACGAUGAUCACUAGGUGU
rnacentral:rRNA from 1 species